ACAACAGCGUCUGAGUCAGUCAUGCAGCUUGUCACAGGACGUCAGUGUUCUGAGAAAGCAGCAGGUACAUUGGGCGCAAUGUCACUUACAUGUCAGGACUGGAGGACUUUCAGGACUACGUUGGAAUAGGAGUCUCCGUGUCUCAUUCAUGAUUUUAGAAGACUGGAUUUCCUAUUUUUAAGAACUCCAUGGACCUCACUGUCUUCUAUUUAGGCACCAGUCCUAUUCUUUACUCAUCUACCAUCCCCAGCUUCACUGAUAUGUACAAUAUCCUAUGAGGUGCUAUAUGAUAUUUGUUUAAUUCUUAAUUCUCUUUAGGCAAAUCGAGUUCCUUGGGGUUCUUUGGCACUCAAACUAAAAUCUUGUUUCUGUACUGUGUCAAUCACAUAAU